rnacentral:rRNA from 1 species
ACUGGGGCGGUCUCCUCCCAAAGCGUAACGGAGGAGUACGAAGGUACGCUAGGUACGGUCGGAAAUCGUGCUGAUAGUGCAAUGGCAUAAGCGUGCUUAACUGCGAGACCGACAAGUCGAGCAGGUGCGAAAGCAGGUCAUAGUGAUCCGGUGGUUCUGUAUGGAAGGGCCAUCGCUCAACGGAUAAAAGGUACUCUGGGGAUAACAGGCUGAUACCGCCCAAGAGUUCAUAUCGACGGCGGUGUUUGGCACCUCGAUGUCGGCUCAUCUCAUCCUGGGGCUGUAGCCGGUCCCAAGGGUAUGGCUGUUCGCCAUUUAAAGAGGUACGUGAGCUGGGUUUAAAACGUCGUGAGACAGUUUGGUCCCUAUCUGCCGUGGGCGUUGGAUAUUUGAAGGGGGCUGCUCCUAGUACGAGAGGACCGGAGUGGACGAACCUCUGGUGUACCGGUUGUGACGCCAGUCGCAUCGCCGGGUAGCUAUGUUCGGAAGAGAUAACCGCUGAAAGCAUCUAAGCGGGAAACUCGCCUUAAGAUGAGAUAUCCCUGGAGGCUUGACCUCCUUGAAGGGUCGUUCGAGACCAGGACGUUGAUAGGUCGGGUGUGUAAGCGCAGUAAUGCGUUCAGCUAACCGAUACUAAUUGCCCGUAAGGCUUGAUCCUAUAACA